UUUACCGUGAGGAAAGUCCGGGCAUCACAGAGCAGGAUAGCUGCUAACGGCAGCCGAAGGCGACUUUAGGGCUAGUGCAACAGAAAGAAACCGCCGGAGCAAUCCGGUAAGGAUGGAAAGGCGAGGUAAGAGCUCACCGGAUUGCGGGAGACCGCAAUGCCAUGUAAACCCUAUCCGAUGCAACACCGACCGGGAUGUUAUCGUUGGCUCGACGGUCUCGACGGGUGGCUGGAGCGUCGCGGCGACGCGACGCCAAGAUAGAUUGCUGUAUUUAACAGAACCCGGCUUACAGGUUUAGUC
rnacentral:RNase_P_RNA from 1 species